CGGCAACGGAUAUCUCGGCUCUCGCAUCGAUGAAGAACGUAGCGAAAUGCGAUACUUGGUGUGAAUUGCAGAAUCCCGUGAACCAUCGAGUCUUUGAACGCAAGUUGCGCCCGAAGCCACUAGGCCGAGGGCACGCCUGCCUGGGCGUCACACGCCGUUGCCCC
rnacentral:rRNA from 3 species